rnacentral:rRNA from 1 species
UAGAGUUUGAUCCUGGCUCAGAUUGAACGCUGGCGGCAUGCUUUACACAUGCAAGUCGAGCGGCAGCGCGGGGGCAACCCUGGCGGCGAGCGGCGAACGGGUGAGUAAUGCAUCGGAACGUAUCCCGCAGUGGGGGACAACCCAGCGAAAGCUGGGCUAAUACCGCAUAUGCUCUGUGGAGGAAAGUGGGGGACCCGCGAGGGCCUCACGCUGUGGGCGCGGCCGAUGUCCGAUUAGCUGGUUGGUGGGGUAACGGCUUACCAAGGCGACGAUCGGUAGCUGGUCUGAGAGGAUGAUCAGCCACACUGGGACUGAGACACGGCCCAGACUCCUACGGGAGGCAGCAGUGGGGAAUUUUGGACAAUGGGCGCAAGCCUGAUCCAGCCAUGCCGCGUGCGGGAAGAAGGCCUUCGGGUUGUAAACCGCUUUUGGCAGGAACGAAACGGCGCGGGUGAAUACCCCGCGUUAAUGACGGUACCUGCAGAAUAAGCACCGGCUAACUACGUGCCAGCAGCCCCGGUCAA